GGGUGAUUAGCUCAGCUGGGAGAGCACCUCCCUUACAAGGAGGGGGUCGGCGGUUCGAUACCGUCAUCACCCCCACCA
rnacentral:tRNA from 1 species